ensembl:lncRNA
CUGCGCAGUGCGUCCGAGCCGAGGGGGCCGGGGUCACCCUGAGCUAAGACUGCGCCGCAAUGCUGAGCAGGUUCCUGGGUCCGCGCUACCGCGAGCUGGCCAGAAACUGGUAAGGACGCAGCUCGCCCUCGGACUUGGACCCCGUGUCCUGCCGGGUCCCAGAUGGGGGAAACAGAGGCACGGAGCGGCGGCGCGGUGUGUUCUGAGCACACGUGCGUGGAGGGCCCCCGACCCCCUCUCCCUGGGGACCGUAAUGCUGCCCACCCAGUCCGCGCCCAGCACCCCCGGUUCAGCUCUUGGGGCCUGGAAACUGACCAUAUACGCUCCUAACUUUGCUUUUGUUUGACGUUAUGAAGCCGACAGCUGCACUUGUCAGAGGCGGGUAGUGUUGGGGUGACCCCACGUGGCAGCUAGGAUGGGCGUGCCCACGACGUGGGGCGCUAGGAAACCGGCUUAUACUCGGCAGUCGUGUCCCCGGCAAGGAGUUAGGGGUGGGGGCUGGCCCUGGAUGGUGGAUCUGGCAGGCAUCUUCGGGUGGGCUUUACAAACGAAAAAGCCGUCCCUGGCGUCGAGUGGGACCUCCGGCAGCACCCGCAGCCCCUCCCGCAGGCGGCCCAGGCCCCCGGAACUGUCCAUUCCUAUCUGCCUGUGGUCAGAGCCGCGACACCUCUUCCAGAGUUUCUUUCCGUCGGCAGCCGGCAGCAUUCUUGAGUGUAUUCGCUUCUAGUCAGAGACACAGCUAUAAACGGAACCUUCGUGUCUGACGUUCUAGUCCAUGAACAAGAAAAAAUAAACCGAUGUGACCCACGGCCUGAGGCUGAUGUAAAAUGUUAAAGGGGGUGUAGUGCAACCCUGUCCCCCCCCUGCUGGCUUCCAGAGGCCAAGAAGCGGGAUCCAGCCCCAGGAACCGUGGGGGUUGUGUCCCAGACUUUGUGCUCAGCAACUGAGGACCUCUGGACCCCACGUCUUCAUGCGAGGAGGGGAAGGACAGGUCGUGAGGGUGUAAGGAAGUCCCACGAGGGGCUGUCAGCAUCAUCACCACCUCUCCAUCUUUUGGUUCCUCUUAGAAGUCAGGUUCGUGGCCACUCCCUCCCUGUGCGUGGCAGGAAUGAGAAGGGGUGGUGGCCUCCCUGAGGGAAGGCUUCUCUGACAUUAAAUCUCAGAGCUGUUGGGCUGUGGGAGGAGAUUCCCCUUCUGUUCAGGACACCUGCCCCGUAGUCUGUUCCAAAGGCAGCGGUAACUUGUGACCUCUCCCAGGCUCAAAGCUGAGUAUUAUGGGCCUCAACCCCAAGAGCAGGGGUUGCUGCAGGUGGCUCGGGACUGUUGAUCCCUCCACUCUCCACCCCAACACCCCCAAGCACAUGGCUUAGGAUGAUCCAGUGAGGUGGUCACCCAUGUACAAAUUCUGGUCCUGCACAGGCCAGCGAUGGAACCUGUAAGACUUCUCUAUUGCUGUGUAACAAACAGCCCACCAAAUCCGGCAGCUUUACAAACACUGAUUAUCAGUUUCUGUGGGUCAGGUAUUCAGACACACCUGAGCCAGGUCCUCUGCUCAGGGUCUCAUCUGAAGCCUUGCCUGGGGAUCGCUUUCUAAGCUCACACAUGUGUUGUGACCACAUGGGCCCCUCUACAGGGCAGCUCACAAAGGGCCAGGAGCUCCCCCUAAAGGGAGUAAGAGGAGGCAGCAGACCUGGUUGGAGCCACAGUCUGUAACACAGGUAUGGCCCACCCUCUGAGUUUUACUCGUUAGAGAUGAGGGACAGGGUCUUACUCACACCCAAGGGGAAGGGCUGUACAAGGAAGGGUGUGAACAGUAGGAGGUGGGACUGUUGGCCCCAUCCUGGAUCCUGCCGGACAUAAACGUGGUGUGGUAGUCCUGGAGCCCCUUGCCUCAGCUCUGUGCCUAGUAGGCUGUGUGUCUUAACAGAGUGAUGUGCCCUCUCUGUGUCUGGUCUCCUCAUCUGUAAGACAGUGCCCCUGACACUCACAUAUCCCUCAGUCCUAUUCUGUCAGGGAUGGAGCUGCUGUAAACUGCAUUAACAUCCCUGUGUGUACUUUAGCUAUCCUUACCGUUACAAGCUGUGGCUCCUGCCUUUUUUAGAAUGCCUCAAAUAAAACCUUAAGCAGAUCCCAAUAUGAAAGUAGAUGGGAAUAGAGUUGCCUUAAGGUCAUCUGCCUCAUGCCUGCCCACACGCUGGAUGGGCUGCCCUCAUGCCAUCCUCAGCAAGAUGUGUCCACAUGCUGGGCAGUACUUGGUGGGCCCCUGAUAAAUGGCAGCUUGGGAUGGGGGGUGGGAUCCAGACAUGCUACCAGGAGGAUGGGGCCUGACCCCUACUGUCCUUGCAGGAUUCCCACGGCCAGCAUGUGGGGUGCUGUGGGUGCCGUGGGGCUGGUAUGGGCCACUGACUGGCGGCUGAUUCUGGAUUGGGUGCCCUACAUCAAUGGCAAGUUUAAGAAGGAAGAUUAAACUGAGCCCCCUCAGACCCCUCUGGCAUCUGGUGGUGCUGCCUCCUUCAUCUGCAUCUGGAAUAGCCCAGGCUCUCAGGAUGGACUUCGGGGAAGUACACAACAAAUAGACUUUCUAUGUUGUGGAAAUCGCUUUGGUGUGUGAAUGCACAGCAUUAAACUUGUUCUGAAACC